rnacentral:pre_miRNA from 1 species
AGUGGGAGAGCUGCAUCAAAUGGUGGUUCCAUUCCAAGUUUUCUGAGGAAUUUCCACACUGCUUUCCAAAUUGGAUGAACCAAUUUGCAGUCCCACCAGCUGU